GCGACAGUGGCUCAGUUGGUAGAGUACGACCUUGCCAAGGUCGGGGUCGCGGGUUCGAACCCCGUCUGUCGCUC
rnacentral:tRNA from 3 species